AAUAUUGCGCAAUGGAGGGAACUCUGACGCAGCGACGCCGCGUGAGCGAUGAAGGUCUUCGGAUCGUAAAGCUCUGUCCUUGGGGAAGUAGGUCUUCGGCCUUGCCUGUACCUGAGGAGGAUGCCCCGGCUAACUACGUCCCAGCAGGCGCGGUAAUACGUAGGGGGAAAGCGUUGUCCGGAAUUAUUGGGCGUAAAGGGUGCGUUGGCGUCCUUUUAAGUCAGAGGUGAAAGCCCACGGCUUAACCGUGGGACUGCAUUUGAAACUGGAGGGCUUGAGUAUCGGAGAGGGUAGUGGAAUUCCCAGUGUAGCGGUGGAAUGCGUAGAUAUUGGGAGGAACACCAGUGGCGAAGGCGACUACCUGGACGAAAACUGACGCUGAGGCACGAAAGCUAGGGGAGAAAAC
rnacentral:rRNA from 1 species